rnacentral:rRNA from 1 species
GACGAACGCUGGCGGCGUGCUUAACACAUGCAAGUCGAGCGGUAAGGCCCUUUCGGGGGUACACGAGCGGCGAACGGGUGAGUAACACGUGGGUGACCUGCCUUUAGCUCUGGGAUAAGCCUGGGAAACCGGGUCUAAUACCGGAUAUGACUCCGCGGCGCAUGCUGUGGGGUGGAAAGCCUUGUGCGGCUGGAGAUGGGCCCGCGGCCUAUCAGCUUGUUGGUGGGGUGAUGGCCUACCAAGGCGACGACGGGUAGCCGGCCUGAGAGGGCGACCGGCCACACUGGGACUGAGACACGGCCCAGACUCCUACGGGAGGCAGCAGUGGGGAAUCUUGCGCAAUGGGCGAAAGCCUGACGCAGCGACGCCGCGUGA